UAUGAAUGAUACCACCCUGAGCACGCCCGAUCUCGUCUGAUCUCGGAGGCUAAGCAGGGUCCGGCCUGGUUAGUACUUGGAUGGGUGACCGCCUGGGAAUGGCUCAUGA
rnacentral:rRNA from 10 species